GCACGGAGUUAGCCGGAGCUUACAAACAGUACCGUCAUCGUAAGAGAUAUUAACCCUUACUUAUUCUUCCCGUUCUUGCGAAGUUAACAUCCCGAGGGAUUUCAUCCUUCACGCGGCGUUGCUGGGUCAGGCUUUCGCCCAUUGCCCAAAAUUCCCGACUGCUGCUUCCCGUAGGAGUCUGACCCGUAUGUCAGUGUCAGUGUGGCCGACCGCCCUCUCAGGCCGGCUACAGAUCAUCGCCUUGGUAAGCCGUUACCUUACCAACUAGCUAAUCUGCCGCAGGCUCCUCUUCAGACGCGAGGUCUUGCGAUCCCCCGCUUUAACAACUGUCACCAUUAGGUGCCGCUGCAUUAUUCGGUAUUAGCCACCGUUUCCGGUGGUUAUUCCCAAUCCAAAGGUAGAUUACCUACGUGUUACUCACCCGUGCGCCACUCUACUCGCCCCCCGAAGGGGACUUUCGCGUUCGACUUGCAUGUCUGAGGCACGCCGCCAGCGUUGAUU
rnacentral:rRNA from 1 species